UACGUAGGGGGCAAGCGUUGUCCGGAAUCAUUGGGCGUAAAGCGCGUGUAGGCGGCCCGGUAAGUCCGCUGUGAAAGUCGGGGGCUCAACCCUCGAAUGCCGGUGGAUACUGUCGGGCUAGAGUACGGAAGAGGCGAGUGGAAUUCCUGGUGUAGCGGUGAAAUGCGCAGAUAUCAGGAGGAACACCGGUGGCGAAGGCGGGUCUCUGGGCCGAUAUCGACGCUGAGGAGCGAAAGCGUGGGGAGCGAACAGG
rnacentral:rRNA from 1 species